rfam:Anopheles stephensi strain SDA-500 unplaced genomic scaffold supercont1.51, whole genome shotgun sequence.
GCAACAGUCCUUUUCAGGACUACCAAACGAUUCAGAAAAGAUAUUG